GAUGAACGCUAGCGGCAGGCCUAACACAUGCAAGUCGAGGGAGAAGCCCUUUCGGGGGCAGAAACCGGCGCACGGGUGCGUAACGCGUAUGCAACCUACCUUUCACAGGGGGAUAGCCCGAAGAAAUUUGGAUUAAUACCCCAUAAUAUUAUUGGAUGGCAUCAUUUGAUAAUUAAAACUGCGGUGGUGAAAGAUGGGCAUGCGUCCUAUUAGCUAGUUGGAGUGGUAACGGCACCCCAAGGCUACGAUAGGUAGAGGUCCUGAGAGGGAGAUCCCCCACACUGGUACUGAGACAGGGACCAGACUCCUACGGGAGGCAGCAGUGAGGAAUAUUGGUCAAUGGUCGGAAGACUGAACCAGCCAUGCCGCGUGCAGGAAGAAUGCCUUAUGGGUUGUAAACUGCUUUUAUAUGGGAAGAAUAAGGCGUACGUGUACGUUGAUGACGGUACCAUAUGAAUAAGCAUCGGCUAACUCCGUG
rnacentral:rRNA from 1 species